rnacentral:rRNA from 1 species
CCCUUAGAUGUUCUGGGCUGCACGCGUGCUACACUGAUUACUUCAACAAGUGUUUUAACUGGAGAGUUUGCGUAAUCCUGAAAUGUUAUCGUGAUGGGAGUAGAGUAUUGUAUUUGUUAAUCUUUAACGGGGAAUUCCUAGUAAGUGUAGGUUUAUAAGUUGUUCUGAUUACGUCCCUGCCCUUUGUACACACCGCCCGUCGCUCCUACCGAUUGAUUGAUCCGGUGAAUUACAUAGAAUUUUGCGUUUUACAUGACGGAAGAUGAAGUGUUUUAAACCUUAUCAUUUAGAGGAAGGAGAAGUCGUAACA